rnacentral:lncRNA from 1 species
CAGGCUAGCACUUGCAGCGGGCAAGCUGCCUGACCUUAAUAUUUUUCAUUUCAUUUGUCACCUGGGUUUUCACCUGAGUUUUGCUUGUUCCCCACAAUUCAUUCCUUCUUGGUCUUGGGAAAAAAUAAAUAAAUAAAAGGAGUUCCUUUCCAUUAAUUACAUGUUCUUAACUUUACAGAUUUGGUUAUUGCCCUGGAAGGCAAAUAUCUGGGCAGACUGUAAGACUUAUGCUCGCAGCAUGGGACAGCUCUCGUAAAGGUGAUUCAGGGUAGCUUCUGGAAAACAAGACAUCAGAUCUCCAAAACAGCUUUCUUUGUGCUAAUGUAGGAAGAGCGAGUAAGAGUCAAGGAACAGAAUGGCUUGGACACAACUGCGCCUAUGACCGAGUUCAUUCAAGCUGGUGGACAAGACACUUCUCUGUCCAUCGGCCUGUCCUGCCAACUCUGGUGUGAGUGUGAAGUUGUGGCAAGAGGGCUUUCCCAGUCCUAUUUGACCUGGUGGACACCAGCUUUCCUAGGAAAUUGCUGAUGUUGCUGAGGAGGCAGCAGUAUCACAGCCCUUGUCGAUGAAGGUACAACAAGCUGGGGAGGCUUUGGCAUUUCUGCACAAUGCUGCUCCCUGAUUGUCACUCAAGACUCAGAUUCUGAAAGAAGCAAAGCAAGCUAGAGGAAAACUGUAUGUCCCGUAUCCAAAACUCCGUGUUACAGCGGAUCUUCUGCUCUGAUCUGAAAAGCUUCACAGGCCAAAAGAGAAUUGAGAUGACGAAGGAAAUAGAGAAUGCUGACCAAUAUUUCCAAUUACCACCUGUAUUAGGUGAAGAAGAACACUGAAACCAGCUGAAGCCAUAUCGGACACAUGCUUCUGCCAGGAAGUAAUUCAGAGUGAUUCCACG